CCUAAAAAUGCCAACUUUAAAUUCAGAACAUGAUGGACUAUGUAGUUUGGGGAGUACAAGUUCUUUCUCCCUAUAACGACUUAUUUUCACUUCAACCCCCCCCCCCAAAAAAAAAAAAACUGUACAUGAAGUACCGAAUCCGAAUCCUCAUUUGUGCCCAGUUGAACUCCAGUCUUUAUGUCUCUGAUUUCAGGAGGGAAUGUCGAAAGGAAAAUAUAAACAGAUCUUUUAGAUGUAGGUAUAAGUCUCCAUGUUCAGUGAAUUUUCCAGUUACUUAUAAGAACUGACCUUACUAUUAAAAUAUAUAACACGAUGUGUGCGCCAAUGCAGGGUGAUGGUGGUGGCUGUUGAUCCUUACAACCUGUACUUUCACCUUUCUUGUAGCGUGCCCUGUCAGAUGCAGGACUUUUUUACUAUCAUCAAGAAAAUAAAACUACAUAACCUCUUUCUUCCAAAAGUCCAAGUAGGGUUAAUGUGCUUCAGUUUUCAUCUGCAGUAGGAAAAGAGAGGCGUAGUGUGAAUGGGUUGCUCUUUUGAGGCCAAAAUGUUUACUGUUCUCUUCCUGUGAUAGGGCGCUGCCCUGUAAUUCCAACAGUAAGGCCAACGCGGAAGAUAAAAUAAGUUGACAUUUUACUGGCUUUUGAAUUAAAGCAUUAGACAUUAAUUACUUGAAAUUUUUAAUUAGUGAAGGUUAUAUCCAGUGCAUGGUGAGAUUGUGAUUUAAUACAUCCAUCCUUUUUAAAAUGAAUGCAAUAAGUAAUUUGUCUACCUUGUUUGAGACCUUGAGACAGUAUAAGCAAAAUGAGUCUGAGUUGCUAAUGACAGGGAAGAAAACCU
rnacentral:lncRNA from 1 species